GACGAACGCUGGCGGCGUGCUUAACACAUGCAAGUCGAGCGGUAAGGCCCUUUCGGGGGUACACGAGCGGCGAACGGGUGAGUAACACGUGGGUGACCUGCCCUCAGCUCUGGGAUAAGCCUGGGAAACCGGGUCUAAUACUGGAUAUGACUCCAUGACGCAUGUUGUGGGGUGGAAAGCCUUGUGCGGCUGAGGAUGGGCCCGCGGCCUAUCAGCUUGUUGGUGGGGUGAGGCCUACCAAGGCGACGACGGGUAGCCAGCCUGAGAGGGCGACCGGCCACACUGGGACUGAGACACGGCCCAGACUCCUACGGGAGGCAGCAGUGGGGAAUAUUGGACAAUGGGCGCAAGCCUGAUCCAGCCAUGCCGCGUGAGU
rnacentral:rRNA from 1 species